rnacentral:rRNA from 1 species
AGUGGCGGACGGGUGAGUAACGCGUGAGCAACCUGCCUCGGAGUGGGGGACAACAGGGGGAAACCUCUGCUAAUACCGCAUAAUGUCAUUGGGUGGCAUCACUUAAUGACCAAAGAUUUAUUGCUCUGAGAUGGGCUCGCGUCUGAUUAGGUAGUUGGUGAGGUAACGGCUCACCAAGCCUACGAUCAGUAGCCGGGUUGAGAGACUGAACGGCCACAUUGGGACUGAGAUACGGCCCAGACUCCUACGGGAGGCAGCAGUGGGGAAUAUUGGGCAAUGGGCGAAAGCCUGACCCAGCAACGCCGCGUGAAGGAAGAAGGCUUUCGGGUUGUAAACUUCUUUUACCAGGGACGAAGGACGUGACGGUACCUGGAGAAAAAGCUCCGGCUAACUACGUGCCAGCAGCCGCGGUAAUACGUAGGGAGCAAGCGUUGUCCGGAUUUACUGGGUGUAAAGGGAGCGUAGACGGUAAUGCAAGUCUGGAGUGAAAGGCGGGGGCCCAACCCCCGGACUGCUCUGGAAACUGUGUAACUGGAGUGCAGGAGAGGCAGGCGGAAUUCCUAGUGUAGCGGUGAAAUGCGUAGAUAUUAGGAGGAACACCGGUGGCGAAGGCGGCCAACUGGGCUUUAACUGACGCUGAGGCUCGAAAGUGUGGGGAGCAAACAGGAUUAGAUACCCUGGUAGUCCACACUGUAAACGAUGAUAACUAGGUGUGGGGGGUCUGACCCCUUCCGUGCCGCAGCUAACGCAAUAAGUUAUCCACCUG